UACAGAGGGGGCAAGCGUUAUUCGGAAUUAUUGGGCGUAAAGGGCGCGUAGGCGGCCUGGCAAGUGGAAGGUGAAAUCCCUCGGCUUAACCGAGGAACUGCCCUCCAAACUGCUUGGCUUGAGACCGGGAGAGGUGAGUGGAAUUCCCAGUGUAGCGGUGGAAUGCGCAGAUAUCAGGAGGAACACCGAUGGCGAAGGCAGAUCUCUGGGCCGUAACUGACGCUGAGGAGCGAAAGCGUGGGGAGCAAACAGG
rnacentral:rRNA from 1 species